AUUGAACGCUGGCGGCAGGCCUAACACAUGCAAGUCGAACGGCAGCACAGAAGAGCUUGCUCUUUGGGUGGCGAGUGGCGGACGGGUGAGUAAUGUCUGGGAAACUGCCCGAUGGAGGGGGAUAACUACUGGAAACGGUAGCUAAUACCGUAUAACGUCGCGAGACCAAAGUGGGGGACCUUCGGGCCUCACACCAUCGGAUGUGCCCAGAUGGGAUUAGCUAGUAGGUGGGGUAAUGGCUCACCUAGGCGACGAUCCCUAGCUGGUCUGAGAGGAUGACCAGCCAAACUGGAACUGAGACACGGUCCAGACUCCUACGGGAGGCAGCAGUGGGGAAUAUUGCACAAUGGGCGCAAGCCUGAUGCAGCCAUGCCGCGUGUAUGAAGAAGGCCUUCGGGUUGUAAAGUACUUUCAGCGGGGAGGAAGGCGGUGAGGUUAAUAACCUCGCCGAUUGACGUUACCCGCAGAAGAAGCACCGGCUAACUCCGUGCCAGCCGCCGCGGUAA
rnacentral:rRNA from 1 species